AUUGGACGCUGGCGGCAUGCUUUACACAUGCAAGUCGAACGGCAGCGCGGGCUUCGGCCUGGCGGCGAGUGGCGAACGGGUGAGUAAUACAUCGGAACGUGCCCAGUAGUGGGGGAUAGCUCGGCGAAAGCCGGAUUAAUACCGCAUACGACCUGAGGGUGAAAGCGGGGGAUCUUCGGACCUCGCGCUAUUGGAGCGGCCGAUGGCAGAUUAGCUAGUUGGUGGGGUAAAGGCCUACCAAGGCGACGAUCUGUAGCUGGUCUGAGAGGACGACCAGCCACACUGGGACUGAGACACGGCCCAGACUCCUACGGGAGGCAGCAGUGGGGAAUUUUGGACAAUGGGCGAAAGCCUGAUCCAGCAAUGCCGCGUGUGUGAUGAAGGCCUUCGGGUUGUAAAGCACUUUUGGCGGGAACGAAAAGGACUGUGCCAAUACCACGGUUCGAUGACGGUACCCGCAGAAUAAGCACCGGCUAACUACG
rnacentral:rRNA from 1 species